rnacentral:tRNA from 2 species
UGGCGUGUAGCUCAAUCGGUAGUUAGCACGCGGCUGUUAACCGCGGGGUUGUGGGUUCGAGUCCCACCAUGCCAG